rnacentral:tRNA from 3 species
GCGGGGGUUGCCGAGCAUGGCCAAAGGCGCUAGGUUGAGGGCCUAGUUCUGUAGGGAUCCGCGGGUUCAAAUCCCGUCCCCCGCA